GUGGGGAAUAUUGGGCAAUGGGCGCAAGCCUGACCCAGUAACGCCGCGUGAAGGAAGAAGGCUUUCGGGUUGUAAACUUCUUUUACCAGGGACGAAACAAAUGACGGUACCUGGUGAAUAAGCCACGGCUAACUACGUGCCAGCAGCCGCGGUAAUACGUAGGUGGCGAGCGUUAUCCGGAUUUAUUGGGUGUAAAGGGCGUGUAGGCGGGACAGCAAGUCAGAUGUGAAAACCAGAGGCUCAACCUCUGGCCUGCAUUUGAAACUGUUGUUCUUGAGUGUCGGAGAGGUAAUCGGAAUUCCGUGUGUAGCGGUGAAAUGCGUAGAUAUACGGAGGAACACCAGUGGCGAAGGCGGAUUACUGGACGAUAACUGACGCUGAGGCGCGAAAGCGUGGGGAGCAAACAGGAUUAGAUACCCCGGUAGUCC
rnacentral:rRNA from 1 species